AGUUACAGCUUUAUUAAUGUUACCAUAUGGGGCAGCACGAAGCACCGAAAAUUUAACACAAACUUAAUCAUUAAAACAUUAGUAAUAAUCUAAAAAGCAAAUUAGAAUUACACAAACGACAUUAAGGGUAAUCUAAAUCGAUUAUGGGCUUAUUUCUUUAGUCGUGGCACAUUUCACAGUAAUAACUUAAUGAAGGUUUGGUAUGCACUAUGUCAAAUCGCGGACCUUGCUUUUGUCAUUUAAUUUUCAACACUAUGAUAAUUUUGAUAAAAUGUGUAAAAAACAGGUAUUUGUUUCGCCAUAUAUGACCCUAUGUAGUGUCAACAUUGAAUCUGUUUUGACAUUGACGUGACGACAAUAAAACAUAUUACAUACACGAUCAAACACUCCUGAAGCGUGCUAUAGACACAUGUGAGCAUAACGGCAUGGUUAUUUAUGAAAUAUAAUUAUGCGAUUUACACGGGCUUGUUAUGUUCUCCUGAAACAUGCAUUUUUUUCACAAAAAUUUUACCAAUUUAUAUGACAAAAGCGAGAUCGGCGAUGAUAUGAUGCAUACUACGAAUUGGUGCUAAACACAUAAUUCUAUAUAGAUUACCCUUAAAAACAAUAACAUAAAACUACCUUAAAGGAAUACUCAAACGAGAUAAGUCUAAAAUCAAAAAUCAACGUCAUAAACCGUCCAUAAUCAAUACAAGUAAGUACGAAGUCAAUCAUAUUACAACCCCCCAUGGUAUAUACAAACUCCCCUAUGGUAGUAAAUAUAAAUAAGUCUGAGCUCACUAGUAUCACUAACUCGUCCGACGUCAAAACAAACAAGAAAAGUCGACGAAUUACAGUCUCCCUUUGGAUGUGAAACUAUAUGCUAGGAAUUGAUAAAAUAUAAGUCUUAAAAAUAAGUUCAACCCAUACUCCGAAUAUCACGUUCUAGUGACAAGUCGUUUAGAAGAUAAGAGUCCGGAUGAUCUUUUUCUCUCAUGUAGGCCCAAGUUUUAAACCACGACUUAUCGCCUUACGCAGGUGAACCCAUGCUACUUUACGAAGCUACAGUAACAAGAAGUGAAGAAGACAGAGUCCAAAAACGCAUUUUUUAUGAAGGUCAAAGGUAAAAAGAAAAGUCAGGGUGACUUACUUUUGAUACACGACAGACCGCCUCACACAGGUGAACCCAUACCCCAAGUACAAUGUAUGAAGUAACAGUCGCCUCACACAGGUGAACCCAUACCCCAAGUAUGAAAUAACAGUCGCCUCACGCAGGUGAACCCAUACCCCAAGUAUGAAGUAACAGUCGCCUCACACAGGUGAACCCAUACCCCAAGUAUGAAGUAACAGUCGCCUCACGUAGGUGAGCCCAUGUAUGAAGUAACAGUAACAAGUAGAGUAGAAGAUAACGCCUGGACAAAAUAGCGAAGAGCGGACGGACACAACACAAUAAACACAGGAAAUAUCGUGAACUGUCACCAAAAUCUAGUGUAACUAAAAAUUAACACUACCGAAAACAACCGGGUUCCGUUGAUGACUUUUACUGAACAACUUAUAUUGACGACAAAAAUGUUUUAAAGAACACAAAAUAACUGCAAAAUCAUAUCGCAAUAAAAUGUCUGCACAACCAUAUGAUAGUAAAACGUGGCUACAUCAAUAACAGUAUAACCAUUAAUGUUUUAAAACAUUCCAAAUAUAAUAAAUCAUUGUUUUAAUUGAAGCGAAUCCAUUACAGUUGGUAUUUUUGUACGUCUUUUGUGAAAAUAGUUUACUGGUUUAAACAAAUGCAUAUCGGAAAAUUGACAGCCCUCUUUCGAUGAGAGAUAAGUUACAAUGUAGCAAUGCAAUGUUUAACCAGAUGAGGUAUUCCUCUUAUUUGGAUGAUUCAUGCAGGAGAAAUGGAACAUUAAUUAUCUAAAAUAAAUUUGGUCCCUACAUGAAUAGGUUUCUUGAGUAAAUCGUAAAUGGUCAAUACAGGGUGUUUAGUAGUGUUAGUGUUAAUACAAUAAACUUUAGGUAAAACUUAACAUCCGAUAUAUAUAUAUAUAUAUAAAUGUACAUUAUUAAAGGGAUGAUUGGGACACACAUCUCCCUCGGACAUAUUAUAUAUGCCUUCCACAACCAUACUUAUCACAGAAUUCAGAGCAUCAAAAAUCUGGACGGGU